GCAAGUCUGGUGCCAGCAGCCGCGGUAAUUCCAGCUCCAAUAAGGAAAACUAAAGUUGCUGUGUUUAAAAAGCUCGUAGUUGAAUUUCGGGUAUUUGUUGCUAGUUGGUCUUUUCGGCCAUAUUGGUUAACAGAUCCUCACUUGCUGGACGGCUGGCGAUGAUCUUUAUCGGUUGUCGUCAGUUGCCAGAACGUUUACUUUGAGAAAAUUAGAGUGCUAAAAGCAGGCUCACGCCUAUAUAUAUUGCAUGGAAUAAUGAAAUAAGAUCUCGAUUUUAUUUCGUUGGUUUUAGAAAUUUGAGAUAAUGAUUAAUAGGAUCAGAGGGGGGCGUACGUACUGUGGUGUGAGAGGUGAAAUUCUUGGAUCGCCACAGGACGAACAGCAGCGAAGGCGUUCGCCAAGAAUGUUUUCUAUUAAUCAAGAACG
rnacentral:rRNA from 1 species